AAGGUGAUUAUAUACCCCCUGUAGUCCACACUGUAAAGCGUUCUGUACUAGCUAUGGGCGGUUUACCGCGUCAGUGGCCAAGCUAACGCGUUAAGUACCCCCCCUGAGGAUUACGGCCGCAAGGCUAAAACUCAAAGGAAUUGAGGGGUCCCCGCACAAGCGGUGGAGCAUGUGGCUAAAUUGGAUGCAACGGGAAGAACCUUACCAGGUCUUGACAUGCAGGGGACCGGCACAGAAAUGUGCCUUCUUUUGGGAGCCGCUGCACAGGUGCUGCAUGGCUGUCGUCAGCUCGUGUCGUGAG
rnacentral:rRNA from 1 species